rnacentral:tRNA from 1 species
UCCCAGUUAGCUCAGUUGGUAGAACGCUCCGCUGGAAAUGGAGAGGUCCCUAGUUCGAUACCAGGACCAGGCG